rnacentral:rRNA from 1 species
GAUGAACGCUGGCGGCGUGCCUAAUACAUGCAAGUCGAGCGAACAGACGAGGAGCUUGCUCCUCUGACGUUAGCGGCGGACGGGUGAGUAACACGUGGAUAACCUACCUAUAAGACUGGGAUAACUUCGGGAAACCGGAGCUAAUACCGGAUAAUAUAUUGAACCGCAUGGUUCAAUAGUGAAAGACGGUUUUGCUGUCACUUAUAGAUGGAUCCGCGCCGCAUUAGCUAGUUGGUAAGGUAACGGCUUACCAAGGCAACGAUGCGUAGCCGACCCGAGAGGGUGAUCGGCCACACUGGAACUGAGACACGGUCCAGACUCCUACGGGAGGCAGCAGUAGGGAAUCUUCCGCAAUGGGCGAAAGCCUGACGGAGCAACGCCGCGUGAGUGAUGAAGGUCUUCGGAUCGUAAAACUCUGUUAUUAGGGAAGAACAAAUGUGUAAGUAACUAUGCACGUCUUGCCGGUACCUAAUCAGAAAGCCACGGCUAACUACGUG